rnacentral:rRNA from 1 species
AGAGUUUGAUCCUGGCUCAGGAUGAACGUUGGCGGUGUGCCUAAUACAUGCAAGUCGAACGGAGUUAAUAGCAAUAUUGACUUAGUGGCGAACGGGUGAGUAACGCGUUGGUGAUCUGCCUCGAAGUGUGGAAUAACGUUCCGAAAGGAACGCUAAUACCGCAUGUGCUCUCGAUUUUUAGAAACUUGAGAGUAAAGGAUUUAUUCGCUUCGAGAGGAGCCUGCGUCCCAUCAGCUGGUUGGUAGGGUAACGGCCUACCAAGGCUAUGACGGGUAGGGGACCUGAGAGGGUGGCCCCCCACAAUGGAACUGAAACACGGUCCAUACACCUACGGGUGGCAGCAGUAGGGAAUAUUAGAAAUGGACGAAAGUCUGAUCUAGCAACACCGCGUGUGCGAAGAAGGCCUUCGGGUCGUAAAGCACUUUUUGGAAGGAAUAGGAAGGAAUGUACUUCCAGAAUAAGUCUCGGCUAACUACGUGCCAGCAGCCGCGGUAACACGUAGGAGGCGAACGUUAUCCGGAUUUACUGGGCGUAAAGCGCGUGUAGGUGGUACUGUAAGUAGGGCGUGAAAGCUCCCGGCUCAACUGGGAGAGGCCGUUCUAAACUACAGAACUAGAGGAUGGUAGAGGGAGGUGGAAUUCCAGGUGUAGCGGUGGAAUGCGCAGAUAUCUGGAGGAACACCAGUGGCGAAGGCGGCCUCCUGGACCAUUCCUGACACUCAGACGCGAAAGCUAGGGUAGCAAACGGGAUUAGAGACCCCGGUAGUCCUAGCCCUAAACGAUGUAGACUAGGCGUCGGAAGUUUAAUCACCUUCGGUGUCCAAGCUAACGCGAUAAGUCUACCGCCUGGGGACUACGGCCGCAAGGUUAAAACUCAAAGGAAUUGACGGGUCCCCGCACAAGCAGCGGA